AUUGAUAUCGGGAUAGAAUAGAGAUAUGCGAAAGGUCAUAGUUGGGCACAUGGUGCCCUAGUGCAUGGUACACGAUGCAUGGUUGCAUAUUCAUCUAAGUCCGGGCAGGGAAAAUGUAAACCUAAAUAGCAGGAUACUACCGGAGGUUCGUAGAGGGUUUUUCUUCCCUUUUGUCACCAUUGAUGAAGUUGACGCAUAAAUCAACUAAGUUUCAGUGGAAGGAGGCUUGCAAGUGGAGUUUCCAAGAGCAUAUGAACAGGUUGACCUCAGCGCCAGUUCUAACACUUCUAGAGGGUCCAGAGGGUCCGUGUAUUGUGAUGUCUUAGGUGUCGGGUUAGGAUGUGUCCUAAUGCAACAUGGGAAGGUAAUUGCGUAUGCUUCAAGGCAAUUGAGGAAGCACGAAACGGAUUAUCCGACCCACGACCUCGAGUUAUAUGAGUUUGUCUAUGCACUUAAGAUAUGGAGGCAUUAUUUAUAUGGUGUUCAUGUUGAUGCAUUUACAGAUCAUAAAAGCCUACAAUAUAUCUUCAAGCAAAAAGAGUUGAAUUUGCGACAGAGGUGAUGGCUAGAGUUAUUGAAAGAUUACGAUGUUAACAUUCUCUACCAUCCAGGGAAAUCUAAUAUUGUAGUAAAUGCCUUAAAUCGCCGAUCUAUGGGUAGCUUAGAACAUAUUGAGGCUGAGAAAUCCGGGAAAAACCAAAUAAAGGGAAAAAAACAACAACUCAAUAAGAAAAAUCGCUUUCACACAAGAUCUAUUCAAGCAUUUCCACGAGGUACUGAACCUCAUAAUCACAGCUCAUGGGUCCCCUUCUAAGCAGAACUGGUGAUGCGGGAUGAACCGGAAGCCGAGUUACGGUGCUAAACUGCACGCUAACCUAGAUCCCACAAAGGGUGUUGGUCGAUUAAGACAGCAGGACAGUGGUCAUGGAAGUCGAAAUCCGCUAUGGAGUGUGUAACAACUCACUUUCCGAAUCAACUAGCCCCGGAAAUGGACGGCGAUUGCUGCAAAACCUUGGGCGUGAGCGUUGGCGGAGCGGCCGUCGGUGCAGAUCUUGGUGGUAGUAGCAAAUAUUCAAACGAAAACUUUGAAGGUCGAAGAGGGGAAAGGUUCCAUCUGAACGCCACUUGCACAUGGGUUAGUCGAUCCUAAGGGUCCAGGGAACCCCAACAAAUAGCGCAUAUCGCACGUACCCCGAAUGGGAUCGGGUUAAAAUUCCUGAAUCGGGAUGUGGCGGUUGAUGGCAAUGUUAGGAAGUCCGGAGACGUCGACGGGGGCCACGGGAAGAGUUAUCUUUUCUGUUUAACAGCCUGCCCAUCCUGGAAACGACUCAGUCGGAGGUAGGGUCCAACAACUGGAAGAGCAGCGCACAUCACGUGGUGUCAGGUGCGCCCCCGGCGGCCCCUGAAAAUCUGAAGGACCAUGUUCCGUCCAUGCCUGGUCGUACUCAUAACCGCAUCAGGUCUCCAAGGUUAACAACCUCUGGUCGAUGGAAGAAUGUAGGCAAAGGAAAUCAGCAAAAUGGAUCCGUUACUUCAAGAAAAGGAUUGGCUCUGAGGGCUGGGCACGGGGUCUAGUCACGAACCCAUCGGUUGUCGGUGGACUGCUUGAGCUGCUCCUGUAGUGAGGUGAGUCACCUCGUGCUAACCGGGGAUGGACUGGGAACGGUUCCUUUGGGGGCCUUCCCCGGGCGUCGAACAGCCAACUCAGAACUGGUACGGACAAGGGGAAUCCAACUGUUCAAUUAAAACAAUGCAUUGCGAUGGUCCCUGCGGAUGUUUACGCAAUGUGAUUUCUACCCAGUGCUCUAAAUGUCAAGGUAAAGAAAUUCAACCAAGCGCGAGUAAAUGGUAAGAGUAACUAUGACUCUCUUAAGGUAGCCAAAUGCCUCGUCAUCUAAUUAGUGAUGCGCAUGAAUGGAUUAACGAGAUUCCCACUGUCCCUAUCUACUAUCCAGCGAAACCACAGCCAAUGGAAAGGGCUUGGUAGAAUCAGCGAGGAAAGAAGACCCUGUUGAGCUUGACUCUAGCCCGACUGUGUGAAAUGACUUGAGAGGUGUAGUAUAAGUGGGAGCCGAAAGGAGAAAGUGAAAUACCACUACUUUUAACGUUAUUUUACCUAUUCUGUGACUCGGAAGCGGGGCACUGCCCCUCUUUUUGGAUGCAAGGCUUGCUUGCAGGCCGAUCCGGGCGGAAAACAUUGUUAGGUGGGGAGUUUGGUUGGGGUGGCACAUCUGUUAAAAGAUAACGCAGGUGUCCUAAGAUGAGCUCAACGAGAACAAAAAUCUCGUGUGGAACAGAAGGGUAAAAGCUCGUUUGAUUCUAAUUUCCAGUGCGAAUAUGAACCGUGAAAGUGUGGCCUAACGAUCCUUUAGACCUUCAGAAUUCGCAGCUAGAGGUGUUAGAAAAGUUACCACAUGGAUAAUUAGCUUGUGGCAGCCAAGCGUUCAUAGCGACGUUGCUUUUUGAUCCUUCGAUGUUGGCUCUUCCUAUCAUUAUGAAGUAGAAUUCACCAAGUGUUGGAUUGUUCACCCGCAAAUAAGGAACGUGAGCUGGGUUUAGACUGUCGUGAGACAGGUUAAUUUUACCCUACUGAUGACAGUGUCACAAUAGUAAUUCAACCUAGUACGAGAGGAACCGUUGACUUGCGCAAUUGGUCAUUACUCUUGGUUGAAAAGCUAGUGGUGCGAAGCUACCAUGCGCUGGAUUAUGACUGAACGUUUCUAAGUUAGAAUCCGGGCUAGAAGCACUGCAUGUGCCGUCCGCUUGCCGACCCGUAGUAGGGGCCUUUUGCCCCCAAGGGCAUGUCUCAUUGGCUUAGUUAUCGCGAUGGAAGAGCCACGGUGGCCGCCUCUAAGUACAAUUUCCAUCGAGCGGCUGGUAGAAUCCUUCAAAUGACUUAAAUACGCAACGG
rnacentral:rRNA from 1 species